rnacentral:rRNA from 1 species
AUACGAAGGGGGCUAGCGUUGUUCGGAUUUACUGGGCGUAAAGCGCACGUAGGCGGAUUGAUUAGUUAGGGGUGAAAUCCCGAGGCUCAACCUCGGAACUGCCUCUAAUACUGUCAAUCUCGAGACCGGAAGAGGUGAGUGGAACUCCUAGUGUAGAGGUGGAAUUCGUAGAUAUUAGGAAGAACACCAGUGGCGAAGGCGGCUCACUGGUCCGGUACUGACGCUGAGGUGCGAAAGCGUGGGGAGCGAACAGGAUUAGAAACCCUAGUAGUCC